UGUGCGACACCCCUGAAACUUUGUUUCAAUCCAAAUCUCGCCAAAGCCCAGAAUCGAAACGUCAUUUCUUAAAAUUUGAUUUUUAAGAUCUCUAUCGAUUUGUAAGCCGAUGAGUUUCUUCCUCCCUCGCGGCGCGCAGCCCUCGACCUCUUCCGUGCCACCCCUGCCUACUUGCCCCGUUCUAAUUACAACCCCAUUAAUCCGCUUCCCAAUCGUUAAUUACAUUGUUCUUCCCCUUCUAAAAGCAAAAUUAAACUCUUUUAUCACACAUUUUUAUAACUGAAAAUAAAUUAUCAUUCUUACAAUCAUUAUUUUAAUGAUUGACCAAAAAAAUCACUUCUAACACACACUUAAAGCAAAUGUAAACACACAUGUUCAAAUGCUUCAAUUUUUUUAAGCACCACUUAACUAAAGGGCUUUGGUGUUGAGUAGAAUAUAUCCGUAAUGAAGUGAGUGUUUAUUAGCUGACCAUUUUGGAUAUCCCCCCUUAAGAACGCUCGAAAUUGUUUUGUUCUGACGACGCUCAAGUACCGGUCAGUUGUGGGAUUCGAGUGGCCGUUUAGCACCCGGGUUCCGACCAUCCAUCUUGAAGUUUUCGGCACAUUUAGCACGAAGACGUCGACCUUUUUGAGAGUCGGGAAGAAUUGAAUGUCCAGCGGAUUCUGAUCGACAAUCGACUCCACACCAUCAAUAAAUCUAUCAUUCCUUCAAUUCUUGAGCAUAUCAAUCAAUUAUGUAAUUAAUAAUAA